rnacentral:rRNA from 1 species
GGGUUGUGAGGUUAAGCGACUAAGCGUACACGGUGGAUGCCCUGGCAGUCAGAGGCGAUGAAGGACGUGCUAAUCUGCGAUAAGCGUCGGUAAGGUGAUAUGAACCGUUAUAACCGGCGAUUUCCGAAUGGGGAAACCCAGUGUGUUUCGACACACUAUCAUUAACUGAAUCCAUAGGUUAAUGAGGCGAACCGGGGGAACUGAAACAUCUAAGUACCCCGAGGAAAAGAAAUCAACCGAGAUUCCCCCAGUAGCGGCGAGCGAACGGGGAGCAGCCCAGAGCCUGAAUCAGUGUGUGUGUUAGUGGAAGCGUCUGGAAAGGCGUGCGAUACAGGGUGACAGCCCCGUACACAAAAAUGCACAUGCUGUGAGCUCGAUGAGUAGGGCGGGACACGUGGUAUCCUGUCUGAAUAUGGGGGGACCAUCCUCCAAGGCUAAAUACUCCUGACUGACCGAUAGUGAACCAGUACCGUGAGGGAAAGGCGAAAAGAACCCCGGCGAGGGGAGUGAAAAAGAACCUGAAACCGUGUACGUACAAGCAGUGGGAGCACGCUUAGGCGUGUGACUGCGUACCUUUUGUAUAAUGGGUCAGCGACUUAUAUUCUGUAGCAAGGUUAACCGAAUAGGGGAGCCGAAGGGAAACCGAGUCUUAACUGGGCGUUAAGUUGCAGGAUAUAGACCCGAAACCCGGUGAUCUAGCCAUGGGCAGGUUGAAGGUUGGGUAACACUAACUGGAGGACCGAACCGACUAAUGUUGAAAAAUUAGCGGAUGACUUGUGGCUGGGGGUGAAAGGCCAAUCAAACCGGGAGAUAGCUGGUUCUCCCCGAAAGCUAUUUAGGUAGCGCCUCGUGAAUUCAUCUCCGGGGGUAGAGCACUGUUUCGGCAAGGGGGUCAUCCCGACUUACCAACCCGAUGCAAACUGCGAAUACCGGAGAAUGUUAUCACGGGAGACACACGGCGGGUGCUAACGUCCGUCGUGAAGAGGGAAACAACCCAGACCGCCAGCUAAGGUCCCAAAGUCAUGGUUAAGUGGGAAACGAUGUGGGAAGGCCCAGACAGCCAGGAUGUUGGCUUAGAAGCAGCCAUCAUUUAAAGAAAGCGUAAUAGCUCACUGGUCGAGUCGGCCUGCGCGGAAGAUGUAACGGGGCUAAACCAUGCACCGAAGCUGCGGCAGCGACACUAUGUGUUGUUGGGUAGGGGAGCGUUCUGUAAGCCUG